rnacentral:rRNA from 1 species
GAUGAACGCUGGCGGCGUGCCUAAUACAUGCAAGUCGAGCGAACAGACGAGGAGCUUGCUCCUCUGACGUUAGCGGCGGACGGGUGAGUAACACGUGGAUAACCUACCUAUAAGACUGGGAUAACUUCGGGAAACCGGAGCUAAUACCGGAUAAUAUAUUGAACCGCAUGGUUCAAUAGUGAAAGACGGUUUUGCUGUCACUUAUAGAUGGAUCCGCGCCGCAUUAGCUAGUUGGUAAGGUAACGGCUUACCAAGGCAACGAUGCGUAGCCGACCUGAGAGGGCGAUCGGCCACACUGGAGCUGAGACACGGUCCAGACUCCUACGGGAGGCAGCAGUAGGGAAUCUUCCGCAAUGGGCGAAAGCCUGACGGAGCAACGCCGCGUGAGUGAUGAAGGUCUUCGGAUCGUAAAACUCUGUUAUUAGGGAAGAACAAAUGUGUAAGUAACUAUGCACGUCUUGACGGUACCUAAUCAGAAAGCCACGGCUAACUACGUG